rfam:Populus trichocarpa isolate Nisqually-1 chromosome 3, whole genome shotgun sequence.
UAUAUUUUUUAGAUCAUCCACGUAAUUUGUCUAUGACAAACCUACAUCUGACUACUCAGAAUCACUCGUUAUCGCAAACCAACUACAUUAACUUGGUUCAACUUUCACUUGUCCUCCUAACAUGAAUUU